rnacentral:lncRNA from 1 species
CCGCGAUUAUAGCCGUAAUAAGAAAGAUACCACCUAACAAAUUUCUUCAACCCGGUUUGCAAAUCGGUUGUCGGUUUAUACCCGUAUUCCCUUUGGGCAUAGCUAAUGUUUGCGUGGGUGAACGGAACGUCGCCGUUUCCUGGCAUGUCCACGAAGUUCUUCUUCGCUUUCACCUUCAAGUGCUUCUCAAGAAUAUCCACCAGGUUCGGGACAGUCACCGGCGACGUGUUGCCCAGGUUGAAUAUUCUAUACGGUGCCGGGCCCCGUUUCUUCCCCCCCGAACCCGUGCUCUUGCCUGAAGUAUCCAACGACCCCAAGCAACCUUUGACGAUGUCAUCAAUAUAUGUGAAAUCCCGGGCCAAAUCGACCCGAUCCUUGCCCCGAU